rnacentral:tRNA from 1 species
GAGGGUUUGGCUCAGUGGUAAAGCCCUUGCCUAGCCUGUGCAAGUCCCUGGGUUUCAUCCCCAGAACUGCUA